GACGAACGCUGGCGGCGUGCUUAACACAUGCAAGUCGAACGGAAAGGCCCUGCUUUUGUGGGGUGCUCGAGUGGCGAACGGAUGAGUAACACGUGAGUAACCUGCCCUUGACUUUGGGAUAACUUCAGGAAACUGGGGCUAAUACCGGAUAGUAGCUCCUGCUGCAUGGUGGGGGUUGGAAAGUUUCGGCGGUUGGGGAUGGACUCGCGGCUUAUCAGCUUGUUGGUGGGGUAGUGGCUUACCAAGGCUUUGACGGGUAGCCCGCCUGAGAGGGUGACCGGAUGCAUGGAAACUGAGAGACUGCCCAGAAUCCUUCGUGAGGCAGCAGUGGCGAAUAUUGGACAAUGGGCGGAAGACUGGUGCAGCAACGCCGCGUGCGGGAUGACGGCCGUCGGGUUGUAAACCGCAUUCGCCUGUGACGAAGCGUGAGUGACGGUAAUAGGUAUAGAAGCACCGGCUAACUACGUG
rnacentral:rRNA from 1 species